rnacentral:tRNA from 1 species
CGGGGUGUAGCUCAGUUGGCUAGAGUACUAGCAUGGGGUGCUAGGUGUCGUAGGUUCGAGUCCUAUCACCCCGACCA